AAGAGUUAUAAACUCCCAAAACCCACUGUGAACAUACCGUCUUGUUGCCUCGGCAGGUCGUGCUCCUACCCUGUAGCUGCUACCCUGUAGGUCCUACCCUGUACCUACCCUGUAGUAGCUACCCGGUAAGCACACCAAACCGCCUGCCGGUGGCCGUCUAAACUCUUAGUAGUCAUUGUGGAACUCUGAUACAGUUUUUAAUAAGUUA
rnacentral:misc_RNA from 1 species